ensembl:lncRNA
GCCGGCCCCGCUCGGUGCGUUGCAGCCGGGAGCGCCUGGCACCGCGCUGACCGUCCGCCCGUGGGGCCGGCAGCGGAGGGCGAGCGGCGGCACGACGAGGACCGGGACGACGACUACGACGAGGACGACGACGAGCGGAGCCUGCGGACGGCCCUCAAGAAGCUGCGGCUGGACGCGGCGCGGCGGCACGAGGAGGAGGAGCAGCAGCAGCAGCAGCAGAACGACGAGGACGACGACGACGAGGACGAGGAGGAGCGCAGCCUGCGGACGGCCCUCCAGGAGCUGCGGGUGGACGCGGCGCGAUGCAUCGCGGCUCAGCCUGCGGGCGACGGGACGGUUCUCGCAGCGCCGGGGAGAAGAGCUGCAGAUGGAGCCCAGCAACCGUCCGUCUGCCGCCGGGAAGCACGGCAUGGCCCUACACCUCCGCACCCUCCUCUUCCCACCUUCUCGGGUUACGUCACUGCUGCUGUGAACUACCUGGAUAUUCAGUGCGAUGCUGCCAGGAGCUCUGAUAGCCAGCUUCUGCACUGCAGCUCGGUUUGGAGUGGCAGUGGCCAAGACAAAGCACCUCCAGUAAAGCCCAGUCCCUUAAACAUGGAAGAACUGCGGGGAAGUACCUUUACAGCAGCAGUGUUUGCGUGCCUCUCUCUUCUGGGAGAGCCCCGCUUCCUUAAGGCUCUUCCGCUGCUCCUGUCAGGGACUGCACACCAACAGCCCUCUCAGUCUUGGAAGCAAAAAGAAAAGAGCAACACCCACGUUAGGUGCCAUGAGCCACGCCACAGAGCUGCGUGAGCAACGGCACAGGUCCCGUAUUUACCUACCUGUUCACCUGUUCUGACCCUGCAGGUGUGAGAGGACUGCAGGAGGACCGGCCAGUCUCUCACAACACGGACGUUCCAGGUCUGCUGUCCUGUAUCCUCCCACGUUUACGCACUGCAGCACAAAACACAAAACCCGGUCACACACACCAAAGACUCACGUCCGUUCCAGUGUUUGUGCUACAGCAGAACACGGCACAGAGGACAGACACAGUCCUCACUUUGAGGCCAGCCAUGGCAGAAGAGCCACAGCUGAACCUCUGCUGAACCACCGCUGCGGGGCCUGUGGGGAAGUCACGGGAGAACUGCCUCGCUCUGCCCUCAUCGUCUCACUCUGACUCACACAACAGCCAAACCUCACUUUUCCUUUCCUUAUCCACGCUUCACAGAUCCAUCUGUGAAACAGCCCUGUGCAGCCCUCCCGCAUCCCGUUCUGUGGAGGCUCACAUGUAUGUCAGUGACGUGACUGUUGAGGACCUGGCAGGGUACCUGGAACACCAUCUGCAUAUACCAAAGAAAAUGUCUGCCAUGGCAGAAAUGAUGUAUUCAUAACGAAACAUCAAAAACAGUCACAAUUCUAAGCACUAUCAGAAAUUUAAAUGGCUCGUUUGUGCCAUAUUUGUAAUGUUCUGUUUCAUCAAAUGUUUUAUUACACAGUACAGUUUAGUUUUGUAAUUAAGAGAAAAACUGUACAUAGUUGCAUAGACUCCUGUGGCUGAAAUGAUGUAUACUUAACUGAAAGCCAUAUUCAGUCACAUAGUAAUAGUUUAUUUUUGUAACUCGAAUAAAAACUGUAUAUAGUCUCAUA